GGCGAUGCUGCGCGGCCCGACAGGAUGUCUAAUUCCCCGGGGCCUUAUCGAUCCAAAAGGGAGCUGUCCCUGUCCUGGCCCCUGGGCUAGGGUACACGGCGCCCACCUACGCUGUAGGUUCCCGGGAUCGAUCAAUCCAUCGGCCCAUCGUGGGUCGCCA
rnacentral:other from 1 species